GUGAACGCUGGCGGUAGGCCUAACACAUGCCAGUCGAACGGCAGCACAGUAAGAGCUUGCUCUUACGGGUGGCGAGUGGCGGACGGGUGAGGAAUACAUCGGAAUCUACUUUUUCGUGGGGGAUAACGUAGGGAAACUUACGCUAAUACCGCAUACGACCUACGGGUGAAAGCAGGGGAUCUUCGGACCUUGCGCGAUUGAAUGAGCCGAUGUCGGAUUAGCUAGUUGGCGGGGUAAAGGCCCACCAAGGCGACGAUCCGUAGCUGGUCUGAGAGGAUGAUCAGCCACACUGGAACUGAGACACGGUCCAGACUCCUACGGGAGGCAGCAGUGGGGAAUAUUGGACAAUGGGCGCAAGCCUGAUCCAGCCAUACCGCGUGGGUGAAGAAGGCCUUCGGGUUGUAAAGCCCUUUUGUUGGGAAAGAAAAGCAGCAGGUUAAUACCCCGCUGUUCCGACGGUACCCAAAGAAUAAGCACCGGCUAACUUCGUG
rnacentral:rRNA from 1 species